AAUAGAGAGCUUUUUAGAGAGUGGUUGGAGACCCAAUUCUCUAUUUUACUCUCCAAAUAUAGAGAACGGAGAGUAAAAUAGAGUGAGGUUGGAGAUGGUCUGAUUGUCUGUAAUGGUGGUAAAAAACCUCUUUUUCUCCUACACUAUUUGAAUUCCGGAUCUCGGGUGGUUCGAUUUGUAUUUGGUGUUUCUAUUGAUUGAUGUUUGUGUUAUAUAAGCCAACAAGAGUUGGAGCAUAUAUGCUACUAUUAUGAGUCAAGAAUAUGUUGCUUCUCUGCGAUACUCAUUUCAAACUCUGUGACAUCCCUCUUUCAGGCUUGAAAGUGUCGUUUCUCCUCGCCGUGUUUGUAUGUUUUAAUUUGUAUAUUGCAACACCUUCUUGGUGCUUUUGGUUAUGAAUAUAUCUUCUUUGAAAUACUAAAUUCUAUUCUCUUGCUAAUCGUAAUUUAUGCCAUUAUUGUGUUUGCUGAAAUUCCCCACUGAAAAAAGACUUGUGUGUCGUGAGAGAGCUUAGUACCAAGAGUUGGCCGCUUUAAAAAAUGUUGGAAGUCUAAUGAAAUUGAAGUAUGGGCUUCCCUCCGCUUAUUGUUAUCUUUUGCUUUUUAUCUAAAAUGUUUUGUUCCUGUGUGAAGAAGGAGUUACCAGUUAAAUGUUUUUAGAAUUACCUUAAUUUUAUUGAUCUUUUGUAAUGGUAUUUCAUUUACCUGCAUGUGUAAUUCUACAGUAGCAUUACUACUAUUUAUCUAACUUUUUUGUCGAAGUGAAACAAUGUUCUGUUUUAGAGAAAAAAGUGGCACUCAGCACUCUCUGCAUUAAGAAACAUUCGGUGGAAACCAUUUUGAUCCGUGGAGAUAAAAUUUUGACAUUCAAGUCAAGGUACAUGACUACAUAAUGACACUAAUAACUAUAUUAGUACUAUUGUUUUCUGAAAAUAAUCUGAAGAUCUUUGAACUUUUUAUGUUUUCGCACAAGAUUGAAUCAAAUAGCAAGGGAUCAUGAAAUUACUUGAUCUCUCGAACUCUCUAGUGUUUGUGAAUAGUAAGAAGAAUGGAGUAAAUGUUGCUAGCAAUGCUCUUGUGGAAGUUCCCAUGCUGCACCCAGGAAGCUAUGAUCACUAUAACUUGCAUUAGCUAUGUGUCCUAGGCUCGAUGUGUGAAAGUACCUGUCAUGGAAUCUUAAGACACCGAAAUGGCUGAAUUGAGAAUCUCUGAGUACUUUCAAUUGAAAGAGAUUGAGCAUGGAUAAAACGUCUAUUGAAAAUAGAAGGACAAUAAAACGAAAAGUGGAAUAACAAGUACAACCAAAAUGGAAAGGGAAGUGACAUAAAGGAGCACAUGAAACGAGAAAUAACAUGUGGCGUACAAGAGACCUAUGCUAAGUUGUAAGAAAACUAAAUCAGACUUCAUGAUAUCAUUUUGUGGGUUGCUACUGCAGAUAAUGAAGAAUAUAACUAUAUCUCCUUUCAAUUUUUGAUACUCUUUCCAAAUUUGAUCAGAUCAUAUGUCAUGUAUGAACAAAGAUGUUACCAUCUUCCUCUGUUUUCUUUUAAGAAAGUUGCAUCAUAGUUCAGGAGGAAGUAGUUGAUAAUCAAUUGAUGUUAUUGAAGAACAAAUUCGGGGAGAAAACUAUAGUGCUACUUGAUGCUAAGAUGUAUCUACGUAUAGAUUUUUCGAGUCAUUUAUGUAUAUAAAUUUGCGGCUUGUGA